GACAGAGGUGCCGAGCGUUAGGCGGAAUCACUGGGCUUAAAGCGUGUGUAGGCGGGCGGGCAAGUACCUUGUGAAAUCCCACGGCUCAACCGUGGAACGGCUGGGUAUACUGCCUGUCUUGAGCCAACUAGGGGCGAGCGGAACAGACGGUGGAGCGGUGAAAUGCGUAGAUAUCAGGAGGAACACCUGUGGUGUAGACAGCUUACUGGACCACUUCUGACGCUGAGACACGAAAGCGUGGGUAGCAAACAGG
rnacentral:rRNA from 1 species